rnacentral:rRNA from 1 species
UACGUAGGGUGCAAGCGUUAAUCGGAAUUACUGGGCGUAAAGGGUGCGUAGGCGGUUCGUUAAGUCUGUCGUGAAAUCCCCGGGCUCAACCUGGGAAUGGCGAUGGAUACUGGCGAGCUAGAGUGUGUCAGAGGAUGGUGGAAUUCCCGGUGUAGCGGUGAAAUGCGUAGAGAUCGGGAGGAACAUCAGUGGCGAAGGCGGCCAUCUGGGACAACACUGACGCUGAAGCACGAAAGCGUGGGGAGCAAACCGG